CCUAGGGGAGGCAGCAGUGGGGAUUUUGCACAAUGGAGGAAACUCUGAUGCAGCGACACUGCGUGAAGGAUGAAGGUUUUCGGAUCGUAUAUCCCCUCAUUAGAAGAGGAGUAAUCUUGAAAGUACUCACUGAAUAAGGACCGGCUAACUACGUGCCAGCAGCCGCGGUAAU
rnacentral:rRNA from 1 species